rnacentral:tRNA from 1 species
UGUGACUUAGUUUAGAAAAAAAAUGUUUGUUUUUGGUGCAAAAGAGUUUAGUUACAU